AUCUAAUUGACGAGUCCCAACUGGGACGAAACGCGCGUCAAACUGGAU
rnacentral:hammerhead_ribozyme from 1 species